CUACGGGAGGCACCAGUGGGGAAUAUUGGACAAUGGGGGAAACCCUGAUCCAGCAAUGCCGCGUGUGUGAAGAAGGCCUGCGAGUUGUAAAGCACUUUCGGUUGGGAGGACUGCUUCUAGCACUAAUAUUGUUGGAAGUUGACGUUACCUUCAGAAGAAGCACCGGCUAUCUCCGUGCCAGCAGCGCGCGGUAAUACGGAGGGUGCAAGCGUUAAUCGGAAUUACUGGGCGUAAAGCGCGCGUAGGCGGCUAGAUCAGUCGGGUGUGAAAGCCCCGGGCUUAACCUGGGAACUGCAUCCGAUACUGUCUAGCUUGAGUACAGGAGAGGAGAGUGGAAUUCCACAUGUAGCGGUGAAAUGCGUAGAUAUGUGGAGGAACACCAAUGGCGAAGGCAGCUCUCUGGCCUGAUACUGACGCUGAGGUGCGAAAGCGUGGGGAGCAAACAGGAUUAGAUACCCGGGUAGUC
rnacentral:rRNA from 1 species